rnacentral:rRNA from 1 species
UACGUAGGGGGCAAGCGUUGUCCGGAUUUAUUGGGCGUAAAGAGCGUGUAGGCGGCCAAGCAGGUCCGCUGUGAAAACUCGAGGCUCAACCUCGGGACGUCGGUGGAAACCGUUUGGCUAGAGUCCGGAAGAGGAGAGUGGAAUUCCCGGUGUAGCGGUGAAAUGCGCAGAUAUCGGGAAGAACACCCGUGGCGAAGGCGGCUCUCUGGGACGGUACUGACACUCAACUACGAAAGCGUGGGGAGCAAACAGG